GACGAACGCUGGCGGCGUGCCUAAUACAUGCAAGUAGAACGCUGAAGAGAGGAGCUUGCUCUUCUUGGAUGAGUUGCGAACGGGUGAGUAACGCGUAGGUAACCUGCCUUGUAGCGGGGGAUAACUAUUGGAAACGAUAGCUAAUACCGCAUAACAAUGGAUGACACAUGUCAUUUAUUUGAAAGGGGCAAUUGCUCCACUACAAGAUGGACCUGCGUUGUAUUAGCUAGUAGGUGAGGUAAUGGCUCACCUAGGCGACGAUACAUAGCCGACCUGAGAGGGUGAUCGGCCACACUGGGACUGAGACACGGCCCAGACUCCUGCGGGAGGCAGCAGUAGGGAAUCUUCGGCAAUGGGGGCAACCCUGACCGAGCAACGCCGCGUGAGUGAAGAAGGUUUUCGGAUCGUAAAGCUCUGUUGUAAGUCAAGAACGGGUGUGAGAGUGGAAAGUUCACACUGUGACGGUAGCUUACCAGAAAGGGACGGCUAACUACGUGCCAGCAGCCGCGGUAAUACGUAGGUCCCGAGCGUUGUCCGGGUUUAUUGGGCGUAAAGCGAGCGCAGGCGGUUUGAUAAGUCUGAAGUUAAAGGCUGUGGCUCAACCAUAGUUCGCUUUGGAAACUGUCAAACUUGAGUGCAGAAGGGGAGAGUGGAAUUCCAUGUGUAGCGGUGAAAUGCGUAGAUAUAUGGAGGAACACCGGUGGCGAAAGCGGCUCUCUGGUCUGUAACUGACGCUGAGGCUCGAAAGCGUGGGGAGCGAACAGGAUUAGAUACCCUGGUAGUCCACGCCGUAAACGAUGAGUGCUAGGUGUUGGAUCCUUUCCGGGAUUCAGUGCCGCAGCUAACGCAUUAAGCACUCCGCCUGGGGAGUACGACCGCAAGGUUGAAACUCAAAGGAAUUGACGGGGGCCCGCACAAGCGGUGGAGCAUGUGGUUUAAUUCGAAGCAACGCGAAGAACCUUACCAGGUCUUGACAUCCCGAUGCUAUUUCUAGAGAUAGAAAGUUACUUCGGUACAUCGGUGACAGGUGGUGCAUGGUUGUCGUCAGCUCGUGUCGUGAGAUGUUGGGUUAAGUCCCGCAACGAGCGCAACCCCUAUUGUUAGUUGCCAUCAUUCAGUUGGGCACUCUAGCGAGACUGCCGGUAAUAAACCGGAGGAAGGUGGGGAUGACGUCAAAUCAUCAUGCCCCUUAUGACCUGGGCUACACACGUGCUACAAUGGUUGGUACAACGAGUUGCGAGUCGGUGACGGCGAGCUAAUCUCUUAAAGCCAAUCUCAGUUCGGAUUGUAGGCUGCAACUCGCCUACAUGAAGUCGGAAUCGCUAGUAAUCGCGGAUCAGCACGCCGCGGUGAAUACGUUCCCGGGCCU
rnacentral:rRNA from 1 species